GAGGAGUGUUAUUCAUCAUGGUCGCUCUCUGGGAGGAGUGUUAUUUAUCAUGGUCUCUAUCUGGGAGGAGUGUUAUUUAUCAUGGUCUCUAUCUGGGAGGAGUGUUAUUCAUCAUGGUUUCUCUCUGGGAGGAGUGUUAUUCAUCAUGGUUUCUCUCUGGGAUGAGUGUUAUUCAUCAUGGUCUCUCUCUGGGAGGAAUGUUAUUCAUCAUGGUCUCUAUCUGGGAGGAGUGUUAUUCAUCAUGGUUUCUCUCUGGGAGGAGUGUUCUUCAUCAUGGUUUCUCUCUGGGAUGAGUGUUAUUCAUCAUGGUCUCUCUCUGGGAGGAGUGUUAUUCAUCAUGGUCUCUCUCUCUGGGAGGAGUGUUAUUCAUCAUGGUCUCUAUCUGGGAGGAAUGUUUUUCAUUAUGGUCUCUCCCUGGGAGGAGUGUUAUUCAUCAUGGUCUCUCUCUCUGGGAGGAGUGUUAUUCAUCAUGGUCUCUCUCCCUGAGAGGAGUGUUAUUCAUCAUGGUCUCUCUCUCUGGGAGGAGAGUGUUAUUCAUCAUGGUCUCUCUCCCUGGGAGGAGUGUUAUUCAUCAUGGUCUCUCUCUCUGGGAGGAGUGUUAUUCAUCAUGGUCUCUCUCUCUGGGAGGAGUGUUAUUCAUCAUGGU
ensembl:lncRNA